ACGACGGCUUUCUCACGAUAGGCUCAAAGCGACUCAUGUGUUUUCAAAGAAUGAAAAUGGAAAGUGAACAACACAUGUUAGGCUUGGAAAGCAGGGAGCAGUUUUUGGAGCUCGAGUCCUCAGGGGAAGAACUGCACGGAAAACAGAAAGACCUUAAAGACCUGAGGCUCCAUUCUCACGAGUCAACUAGUUCCACAUCACUCUGGAAUCACUUAUCCAGCGCCACAGUGGUUUGGGGAAAGUGACCUAAUGUUUCUGGAAUGAUCACAGGACUCUAGACCUGAGGGUUCGCUCUGACCACGAGUUCCAAAGACGAAGACAGUCUGUAGUGUUCACAGCAGCCCCACGGACACGGGGCCCAGGAGGAGACACUGAAUCCACAGCGAUCAAGCCCCCCCCCCCAUGCAACCUGGGCUCAGCUCUCCUCAUCUGCUUUUCUCCUCUGCCCCGAAGCUGGCAUCUUCCCCAGGCGGUGCCUGGGGUUGCUCUGGGGGCGUGCAUCUCUGAGUCCGAAAAGACGGAGGCAUCAGGUUCAGUGUUUAUCUUGCGGCCGGGAGAAAAUGAACUCGACCGAGACAGCAUGAAAUACACGUGUGGGAUUAGACUGUCAGGGCAGACCAGGGACCAUAAACUAUCUCACGUGU